CCCUUAGAUGUUCUGGGCCGCACGCGUGCUACACUGAGUGGAUCAGCGGGUCAGGUUGCGCGAAGGCGUUUCCUAAUCUUGAAAUCCGCUCGUGAUGGGGAUUGACGGUUGCAAUUUUCUGUCAUGAACGAGGAAUACCUUGUAAGCGCGAGUCAUCAUCCCGCGCUGAAUACGUCCCUGCCCUUUGUACACACCGCCCGUCGCUCCUACCGAUUGAGUGGUCCGGUGAGGCUUUGGGAUCUGAGCGGAAAGAGCGUUUCGCUCGUUCUGCCCGGAAAACUCAGUCGAACCUUAUCAUUUAGAGGAAGGAGAAGUCGUAACA
rnacentral:rRNA from 1 species